AUCUCUUUUUCAGCUUAGCUGCUCUUCACAUUCCUCUGACACUUCCCUCUAAGUCCCAAGCAGUGAUUUGAAUUCAGAUGGCAGAUGAGAAAGUAGCAGAACUGUCUGAUAAAAGGAGCGGGAACUAUUCCCCCUUUUAACUCACUUUUCAAAACACCCGUCAUGCAAAAUCCACCCCCCCCAUCUAUUCUCCCGUGGCACUGAAUGGUCGGCCGUCUCUUCCUUUCACACAGCAUCCAUAUUUCAUGGUACCAAUGCAAAUGCUCUUUGUAGCAUGAAUAUUAAAGAGGGGAAACAGAAGGAAGGUCAUCAAAUAGUCGCGAGUGAAGCAGCUCCACUAUCACCAGAGAGACGCCUCGCUCUUGUUCUCUAAUAUGACCACUGAACACACACACACACACACACACACACACACACACACACACACACACACACACACACACACACACACACACACACACACACACACACACACACACACACACACACACACACAGGAUACAUUUAGGGAUCAGACCAGGAUAAAAGCGACAUUUAUCAACGCAAAGGUCGCGUCCUUCGCCUACAAGAGCAAUAUUCUAGGAUAAACCACUUCCAGCCACUUCCAGGUCAAACAGUGGAAACAAUGCUCCUAGACUUUGUCCCCGUGUCACAGACUGUGUAAUAAUUCAACAAGCUGAAUACAGAAAAAAUGUCACCCGCUGGCGAGUGACGCACAUUCAUACGCGGCUGAAAAAAGAAACAUUCUUCUUUCUUGCAGUCCCACUUUUCCGUCUCACUGGCGGUUUCAGCCUGAGACCACUUCUUAUUAUUAUUAUUUUCCUUUUAUUCAUUUCUGAAGAAAAGCGGCGCUGUUUUACACAGCUGCCUUUUUUUAUGGCCGUAAAUACAUCUCCUGAGUCAAAUGCUUUUUACUCCUUCCUGGUGUUGCUCCGCUGCCUAAUUCAAGGUGGCACCUGAAACACACAAGCGCUCCCGUCUCAUCCGCUUCCCCCCGACCCUUCACUCCCGACCGUAAUCGGAUGUGGCUUUCCAUCAUUUCCAGAGCCACAAACGCUUCACCUGCACACGCACGCACGCUGACGCCACACCUGGAGCUCAUCUGUUUCACCGGCUCCCUCCCAGCGAGUCCGGUCCCCGCCUCCAGUCUGGACACACGGACUUCAGGAGCACUUUCAUCCAAAUAUUGCGCUUCUUUUUUAUCACUGCCAGUCCCACUCGCACAAAACGGUUGAUUUCAUUUUCCCAGCUCUGACAAAAUAACAUAUGGGAAUAAUGAAGUAUUCAGCCAGUCAUUACUUUGGUGUCAAAAGGCUGGACUGUGUCGCGGGGGAACGUGCUCUGAACGAGGACACGCGUGCGUCCGUGUGCGGAUCUGACAGAUGCCGUACGAGGAGUAAUCACUGGCCCGAAUGUCAUCAUUCAGAGUGCGAGGGAUGGAUGGUGUUAUUUGUACGCAAUUUGUCAAAAUGUCACGGUGACACCGAGCCGGGCGGUAACAAAAGACAGGGACGUUUGUACAGAUAAGGCAGAAUACAGAAGCACGGAGGAGCAGAUGAGGGGCCUGGACGGGUCCUCGGUGCCAGACGGGUGGUCCGGGCCUCGGGGGUGGGGGGCAGGUGACGCACCCGACAGCAGCCAGCAAAUGAAGACGAAUGCCCAGAAUCUCCCUCUGCCAUAAACUCCCCCUCAGCGCAGACACCCGCGUAGCAUGAAGACGCUAACGCAGACUCGCAGCGUCCGUCUGCCGCCGGCUCCGCUCCUGACGUGGUGGAGGUUUGCCUUUUAAUAUUUCUACCUGAUGAACAAAUUAUUGUCUGGCGUGGGAAAGCGGAGCGGGGCCACAGAUGCCUGACGGCGGGAGCAUCCCACUGCCGCGGCCGAGGAGGAGAGGCCAGCGGUGGCCCCUGCCGACCCCGUAUGCCAGCGGCGCAUUAGCCCGAUCAGCGGCAGGCGGCAGCGGGAGGCGGCUGAUUAAAAUAUCCGCACGUGUGAGAAACAACUGCGAGCAUGUGUGCAAUUAAAAAUGAAAGACGAUGAUGAUGUCAUUUAUGAUUCGGGACCAUUUACAUCAGGAUGUCUGGAGGUCGCUGCCCUGUAUCAGCACCCAGUGUUUCCUCAGGGAAAUGCUCACCUGACGUGGGCAACGUUAGCGACGGUUACAUAAGAGUGGAGUCAGGCUGCAGCGCGUAGAAAGAGGACCGCUGGAGCCCAGGCUGGUCUUGCUCCAAUCAUUUCGUAGUAUUUGGAAGUGAUUAAAUUGGGCUUAUGAUGCAACAGUCCCGAUGACCCGGACUUACAAGAAUGUGAACAGACGGAGUCAUUCAUCACAGCAUUAAUCCUCUCAUCCUUUUAUUAGAGAGCCAGUCCACUCUGCUGCCGUGCAACCCCACUUCCACACAUCACACAUCCACUAAUACGGAUACGGAAACCUGAAAGAGAGCAUUCGGCGCUCAGAGUCUCGAUAUUCGCGUUCUUUCUGGAAGAGCCCGAUGGAUAAAGCUUCAUGGACAUCUACAGCCCCCUCCUCCUCCUCCUUCUCUACUGUGGCUGCUCAGCUUCACAUCGGAGGAGCUUCAGACGUGCCCUAAUUCAAAUCAGCUCCAACUGCUUUGAACAGUCAAAUUCAGCAUGUUUAUUAAUUUUCAGAAUGAGCUGUGAAAUCUUGCUGCACUAAACCCCAUGAAAAUAAGAAGCUAAUCAUGAGCCCAGUGCAGCUGCUCUCUGUGCUCUGCAUUGAUUUGCUACGGAUAAACGCUUCUGGUUGCCUCCUUUUAAUGGCUUUUGAAUAUCUUUGCUUUCGUGCCCUUCGCCUCCGCUGCAGCGCUCGUGCCUUUGACUCUUCCUCCCGCGGUGCGGUCUGAUGUGCUCGUCUGCCCGCUGUCCCUGCUGCUCCUGUCAAAGCGGCUGCACCCGCUCUUAAGCCGACCACCAGCGGAGCAGCUCGGCCUUUGAUGUGAAGCAUCUCGAUGGCUCUCACUCAGCCCCGAGGCUCCGCUUUACAGCUCCAGCGCAGACCUGGACCACGUGCGUGUGAAUGAAAUACUGCAGAGAUAACGAUAUCACUGCAGCUUAUGAGACAUUUACCUGCAGGACCGCAAUGAAGCUGCUCUUAAUGCUGCCAAUCAAUUGAAUUUUGUCGACUUUCUUCUUGAACGGCUACAAUAAAAACUAAUGUGGUUCAAGCCACAUUGGACAACUCUGAUUGUAAUCUGUGCCAUUCCGUCUGCAGUGUCAGGCUUUUGUUUUCCUGCAACAAUGUGUCCUCCUCUUCCUGCACAGUACACGGCGUUGUGUUACCAGUCACACUGCGGUUUUCAUAACAGCUCUGAGAAAAGCUUAGCAGAAACAGGGUCAGAGUCAGAUAAAGAAUACACCGUAAGUAUCUGAAUCUGAAGUUAUUAUGAUGAGACCGAGGAGAGCUGCCGCGUAAACGUAAGAAGGCCUUGAUGUGGCCACGCGAGAGAAAGACGACCCGGGUGACGGCGAGGAGAAUAGACGGAGAGUGAGGGCUUUAAAGCUCAAUGAGCAGAGGAAGGAGGAAGGAGACAGUGGGAAAGACAGACCAUCACUGUUGGAUGUGAGUAAAAUGAGAAGCCAGCUCACACUUGGAGCUGUGCCUCUCUCUCCCCCCUGUGAUCUUUCUAACGCCCCUCUGCUCGUCAUCCCUUCCCCUCUGGUCCCUUCUCCCUCCCUCCCUCCAUCGACCUCCCUCGUGGCUGCCCUAUGACGCUGAGCAGACGUUUGGGUUAGCUCCACCGAGAGGAUGGAGGAGGGGGGGGGGUCUGGACAUAAAUAGAAAGUGGCCUAUCGCUAACCCACGGUGCUGAACAUGGUGAGCAGCGAUUAAUGCAUGGACGAGCGGGGAUCAACCGCAUGAAUGCUGCAUUAACGCAGUGUGUGUGCGUGGGACGCCAACGCCUGCAAGGUUUUAAGACAAGAGUCUGAAUCUGAGGCCAUCUUCAUGCCUGCAACAGCAAUUGUGACAAAUGAGGACCGUGCUUAACGUUUUCACUCGGGUGUUUUUACCCUGUGUUGAACUGGACUUUGAAAAGGUCUAUUAAUCUGAGAGGGAGAGUAAAUGUGCGCACCCCAUUGAGUUGGCUCCUAACCCUGUGGUAGAGAUGCCGGACCAGGCCGCGCUACAUGCUAAUUGCGGCGCGCAUCGACUGAGGCCUAUUUUUAAACUGAAAUGGUUACAUAAUUAAAAGCGGAUCUAUAAGUCAAUUGAAGGUGAACGGAGAGCGGUAUAAACACGUCAACGGCCCCCCGGGGAGCUGCUACGCACACGUACGUUGUCCCAUCACUGUGAACACGCUUCCCCUCUGCUCCGCACUCACGUGUCGCAAACACAGGGACGAAUGGAGGGUGGCUCUAAUUUGCGUUUCUAAAUAUUCAACGCCCGCUUGACGCAUGGCAACCUGGUCAGAAACAGUGAAGUGGCCUCAGCCCAGUGAAUGGGAAGAGGGAGGGAAUCAUUCACAGACUGAAUUAAUUCCAAUUGUCUUGUGUCAUUUCCAUUACAUGAGAAAAUCAUUUGUGUGCAGUCAUUAUGCUAAAUUAUUCAAAUGGAAACAAUGAGCAACAGCAGCGCGUCCUGUUCGGGUUUCGACCCUUUGGACAAGAAACGUGGAGUGCAGAGAACGAGGAUGCUCACGUAGUCACGUACAGUAAAGGUAAAGGCGUCUGCAUUGGAGUGCAGGGUGUCACUGCACUGCAUCUAGUGUGUUGCUUCCAGAUGUCGCCUUUGAGGGAAAACAACAGAUCUGGCACCCGGGUUCUUGUUUUGGUGAAGCUCUGCUGAACACACGAACGAGGGCUUUGAUCGUGUCAGAGAAUCGUCUCCCAACGCGAAGGAGUCCAGAACGCCGGUGUUCCGCUGUGGGAGCCGUCACCGCGCGGCCGCAGCGGCGCACAGUGUUUAGCCCUAAUGAGCCUCUGACUUCGAGGCACAUCAAUGAGGCGCCUCAUUCAUAAUAAAGAGCCUCAGUCCCGCGGGCAGCGGCUAAAUGAACUGGGACUGAAAGCAGGCAAACAGUUUAGCCCGUUCCCUGGGCUCAGAGAGCGAUAAUUAAACGUGCGGCUAAAACCCAGAGAGGAGGAUGGAGGCGCACGCGAACGGCCACACUAUGAGUCAAGUGAUGAAAAUAAUAACAUAGCUGUUUAUAUGCUAGCCAGAAAUGACGGUGAUGUGGACGUUGCAGCAUCCAGGUGAGGAUUCAGGAUUUAAACCAGCAGAAAUGAUAUUCAGCAAAGUAAACGAAGCUCCAAGGCAUUUUAAAAACACAGACCUUUCACUGUGCAGAACUCAAAAUAAACUGUUUUGUUGCUCGCUGCCUCCAAAUCCUAUGAGAAAUUAUCAAUGAAUCAUCUCUGCGCUGGGCUCAGAGCGCGCGGGAGGAUUAGCGGUGUUUAUUAUCAUUAUCCUAAUAGUCUCAAUCCAAAUGAAAUGAAUUCCAGGAAGCUUCGGUCGUGGGCACGCGGCACCGACGCGUCGGUCACAAACGGGCCCGAGUGACGAACGAGGCCCCUGCAGGUCGGCGCCGACGCUGAUGGAUCAGCCUCCGAGGCCGACGCGUGACGGGCGGAGGCGAGGCAGAACAGUCGGUGUGGAGUCCUCUCUCCGUCUCUGCACUGCAGAAAAUGGCAGCUCCGCCUCUGGUACAGGCGUCCAAAAGAUCCGUUUCUGGGAACCUUUGCGAGAGCUCUGGAAGUCUUCGAAGAUGCCGGAGCGACUAUGAACCGAGGCUGCAGGUCCGGUUUGCAGGUGGAACACGGAGGUCUGGGUCUGAAACACACGGGCCCCGAAGAACUGGAGGAGACGCUCCUGAAAUCCAGAUGUGCUUGGCCUCUAAUCUCCCUCAUCAGUGUUCGUGCUCUCUUUCCUCCUCCCAGCCACACGCCUGAGCUCCGCCGGCAGCGGCGGGUGAUUCGGGGCCUUCGCUCCCUCUCCUCCCUCCCUCCCUCCGUCGCGCGUCACCCUCUGACGUCGUCACGUAGCGUUCGGAGCGAGUCCUCGGAGGCCGGACGUUUGAAGCAUUGAUUGAAGUGGCUCCGUCCCCCGAGCGCCAUUAUGUAACAGAGAUGUAAAAUCCACAAAGUCACUGAGACGGGAGAUAGA